GUGGAUGCUAGUCUCAUAGAUUAAGCCAUGCAUGUGUAAGCGAAGCGUAAGUGAAGCGGCGCACGGCUCAGUAACGGGCGGCCUUUGAUCUCCCGGCGUGGAUAACCGCUGUAAACGGCGGGCAAAACACAGGAGGUGCGGCUGUUGUGGUCGUGCGUUUAACGCCAGUGCGGGAGAGUAAGGCGCCAUCCCAUCAGUUAGUAAGUAGGGUAUUGGCCUACUUAGACGAAGACGGGUACGGGGAAUUAUCGUUUGAUUCCGGAGAGGGAGCCUGAGAGACGGCUACCAGGUCCAAGGACAGCAGCAGGCGCGAAAUUACCGAAGCCUGCCUCAGGGCGGUAGUAAGGAGACGUUGACUGAUGCGCGUGUAAAGACCGCGCUCGAUACAGGAGGACAAGACUGGUGCCAGCAGCCGCGG
rnacentral:rRNA from 1 species